UGAAAUGCGAUAACUAGUGUGAAUUGCAUUACUUUGUGAAUCAUCGAGUCUUUGAACGCAUAUUGCACUUUUUGUAGAAAAAGUAUGCCUGUUUGAGUAUCAUGAACACCCCCUCCACACGCUUGUGUGGGACUUGGGCUGUAGGGCUUUUUAUUAUAAUAAACCCUUGGCCUCAAAAUUUACUUGGGUGGCACUGACGGGUGGGGUCAGCAGUCGACGCGCAACAAGACCAGUUAGGCCAAGUUUGCAUUGACGCCGUCUCCGUCGCCAGUGUCGCAAGCCCAAGGCUGUGCGUCUAAUCUCCUGUAAGGGAGGGCGGACAACUUUACCACUUUGAUCUCAAAUCAGGCAAGACUACCCGCUGAACUUAA
rnacentral:misc_RNA from 1 species